rnacentral:rRNA from 1 species
AUACGAAGGGGGCUAGCGUUGUUCGGAAUUACUGGGCGUAAAGCGCGUGUAGGCGGACUGAUCAGUUGGGGGUGAAAUCCCAGGGCUUAACCCUGGAACUGCCUCCAAUACUGUCAGUCUUGAGUUCGGGAGAGGUGAGUGGAAUUCCUAGUGUAGAGGUGAAAUUCGUAGAUAUUAGGAAGAACACCAGUGGCGAAGGCGGCUCACUGGCCCGAUACUGACGCUGAGGCGCGAAAGCGUGGGGAGCAAACAGGAUUAGAUACCCUAGUAGUCC